rnacentral:rRNA from 1 species
AAACUUUCAACAACGGAUCUCUUGGUUCUGGCAUCGAUGAAGAACGCGGCAAAAUGCGAUAAGUAAUGUGAAUUGCAGAAUUCAGUGAAUCAUCGAAUCUUUGAACGCACAUUGCGCCCGCCAGUAUUCUGGCGGGCAUGCCUGUUCGAGCGUCAUUU